GGAAGCGAGCGUUCCGGCAGUGAAGUUCAAAGACGAACCGCUGCGCUGGGCCGCGGUCCGUGCAGCUGGUGGGCGUCCCGCUCGCUUUUGGCACGGCACUGCGGUGCUGGGAGCCAUCGGAGCGCGGUUUCGGUUCGCGGCGGAGGCCGGGUGACCCUGGAUAAGUGCGCUGUACGUCUCUGCACCGGACUUGUCCGGGCGGGAGCGGCCUUCCUCGGGCACCGGGCGGCUAUGAAGAUACCAGUGUUGGAUUUCGGUGCUCACAGCUCUCAUCUGACUUCAUCUUGGGCUGUUUUCUUAGUCAUCUACACACUGAAAUGCCAAACGAAGCCAGAUUUUGGCAAAGAAUCAAUGGAGUUAGAAGUGUGUUGGCUCAAUAAGAAUGAAGCAGCUGGUAUCAGGAGACAGAGACCAGAAGCAUAGAGGGGAUGCUUGGGUAUACAAGAGGCCGGUGGAAGACAUUUUAUCCAGCUGCCACAUUUGACUCCUGCUCAGAAAGCCACAAUGUUGUACUGAGCCUUGAACCAUCAUUUUAGAAAAAUCAGUUUGGAAAGGUACUAUAUUUCCAAAGGUGCAGUAGUGGAUCAGCUAGGUGGAGACUUGAAUUCGACUCCCCUUCACUGGGCCAUCAGACAAGGACACCUACCCAUGGUCACCUUAUUGUUGAAGUGUGGAGCAGAUCCCAGCCUUACUGAUGGGGCAGGAUUCAGCAGCAUUCAUUUGGCAGUGCUGUUUCAACACAUACCCAUUGUAGCUUACCUCAUAUCAAAGGGCCAGACCAGAGCCCACAAGUUUUCUACUAAAGUUUAACCCCUCCCUCAAUGCUGUGGACAACGUCCAGAAGAACACUGCGCUGCACUGGGCAGUAACAUCAGGAAAUGUUAGUGCAGUGGAGCUACUGCUAGAAGCUGGUGCUAACAUGGACAUAAAAACUGUCAAGGGAGAGACAGCGCUUGACCUUGCAAUUCAAACUCAGAAUUGCUUCGUCAUUUAUAUGUUAAUGGAGGAAGGAAGAAUGAGAAGCAAAAGGAAUAACAGGUUACUGAGAAUAAUGGAGAAAUACGAGCUGUUCCUGCUGCUGGCGUCUUGCUUGACUGUGUUGUGGGCCAUAGGAUACGUAAUGAACUUAAGUUCUGAUUCUUGGCUUUUGAAAGGAUGCCUGCUUCUCUUUCUGCUGGUUGGGAUGGCUCUGUCUGUGAGGCAGUCUGUGGGAGUCAAGAAUCUGAGGUAUCUUCCCACAGCACUGAUGCUAAGUUCCGUCUUUUGGAUGUCUGUGACGUGGUUUUUCUGGUUCAUGCCUGAUGUGACCAAUGCCAUUGUUGAGAUCCCUGUCAUGUUCAGCCUAGUGGGUCGUCUUUAUUUUUUCUAUAAAGCCUGGAGGACUGAUCCUGGAUAUAUUAUGUCUUCAGAAAAAGACAAAAAAGAGAACAUUGCAGCUCUAGCAGAAGCAGGGUGCUUGGACUUCAGAACAUUCUGCACGUCAUGUCUUGUAAGGAAGCCUUUGAGAUCUGUGCACCGCGUUCCUUGUGAUUCAUGUGUAGCCAGAUGUGAUCAGCAUUCUCUGUGGAUUGCACAGUGCAUAGUUACGCAGCUCCUUCAAGCAAGCUUUUGGUAAAAAGAAAUCUCCCAAGUCAGCAUCUCCUCAUUCAGAUAUUGAGAAGAUACAGGUUCUUCAUUGCCUUCAUCGCCAAAGCUGCCACACUAUAAUUCUACUGUUUCUACACCAUUGCUGAGAGCUUCUCAUUCCAAUUCUCUAUUUUUCCUAACAGCCAACCUGAACUUCCCUUGGCAUAACUCAAGGCCAUCAUCUCUUGUCCUGUUGCUGAUACCCAGGAGAAGAAGCCAACCUCCACCUUGCCACAACCUCUACAACAGGAAGUUGUAGAAAGCUAUGAGGUCUCCCCUGAGCCUCCUCGUCUCCAGGCCAAACAAUCCCAGUUCUCUCAGCUGCUCCCCAUCAGACUUGUGCUCCAGUCCCCUCACGGCUCUGUUGCCCAUCUUUGGAUAUGAGCCAAGUCUUCCUCGCAUUGAGGGACCCAAAACUGAACACAGUAUUCAAGAUGCAGCCUCACCAGAGCUGACUGCAGAAGGACCAUCACCUCCUGCUCAUGCUGGCUGCACUAUUUCUGAUACAAGCCAGGAUGCCACCGGCCUUCUUAGCUACCCAGGUACACUACUAGUCAGCCAGCUGCUGACUAAUGCCCUCAGAUCCUUCUCCUCCAUGCAGUUUUGUCAGCGACUCUGUCUGUCCCAAGCCUGUAGUGAUGUAUGAGGUUGCUGUGACCAAAGUGCAGGACCUAGCACUUGGUCUUAUUUCAACAUAAUCUCACUGCCAAGAUAUAACGGCAGCAGAAACUAAAGAGACAUUUUUUUCCACUUUUUCCAUUUAACAGACACCCAACUGUUCAAGAUGUUUCCCUGUGCUGUAGAACAUAAAACACAGAAGAGCAGACAAAAGAUGACAAAACAAGAAGGGCAGACGCUAACCUGACUUCACCCACAAUAUCUGCAGCAAGGUUCUGCAGGCUGUUUCGUAGUUCCUCUACUUCCCUCCUCAGCUCCAAGAUGUUUGUCAGCACAAAAUCCAGGCGGUCCAGCACAUCCACCUGCUCACCAUGUGUUAACAGAGGUGUAUACACAGCACAAUCUCCUGCCCCUAAAGGAACUGGCUUUCUGGUUAGACCUUUGAGAAAACAAGACAGAAAAAAAGGUUAUCAGAUGAAAAUCAUACAAUCACAAGGUUGGAAAGGACCUACAAACAAGAUCAUCUAGUCCAACUGUCCUCCCAUUACUACUGCCACCACAAGCCACUAAACCAUAUCUCAUAGCUCCUCAUCCAGACGCCUCUUGAACACUGCCAGGGAAGGUGACUGCACCGCCUCCCUGGGCAGCCAUUCCAGUGCCUGACCACUCUCUGAAAGAAAAACUUCUUCAUGAUGUCUAUUCUAAACCUCCUCUGGUACAGCUUGUGGCCAUUUCCUCGGGUCCUGUUUGUUGCCUGGGAGAAGAGGCCAAACCCCUCCUCAUCACAACCUCCCUUCAGGAAGUUGUAGAGUGCAGUGAGGUCUCCCCUGAGACCUCCUCUCUCCAGACUGAACAAUCCCAGCUCCCUCAGCUGCUCCUCAUAAGACUUGUGCUCCAGACCCCUCACCAGAUUCGUUGCCCUUCUCUGGACACGCUCCAGGGUCUCGAUGUCUGUCUUGUAGAGAGGGACCCAAAACUGAACACAAUACUCAAGGUGUGGCCUCACCAGUGCUGAGUACAGGGAAAUGGGAAAGGGUUUCUCACAGGAAAUGUCAGUUCAAUUUUGUCUUCAGAAAACAGAGGGUAUAAAGUUUAAUCUUGAGUACUGCCCCCUGACCUGGCCUGGUGCUUUUGGUUCCUGCACUGGUUUACCACUCCAUCCUGACAUCAGCAAGCAGUCACACUAAACACUUCCACAAUGCUAACAGAGUGAAUAGAGUUCACUCCUAGAAACAUUCAAGGUCAGGCUAGACAGGGCCCUGAGCACCCUGAUCGAGCUGAAGGCGCCCCUGUUCAUUGCAGGACAGUUGGAUUAAAUGAUCUUUAAAGGUUCUUUCCAACUUUUCCAACUCAAGUGAUUCCAUGAUUCUAUGAGUUCUUUCAGUGACACUUCUGCAGGCAUCCCCUUGUGAAACACUUAAAAAAACUACAAAAUCCAUAUUGAAUAUCACAAAGACCAUGGCAGUUGAGCAAAUUGCUUCUUUUUAAGAACACCUUACUGCAAAAUAAGUUCCGUUUCUAUUCUACAUACAUCUGUUUUAAGAGAUACUGGACUUUAAGAAUCAUAGAAUCAUAGAAUCACAAGGUUGGAAACAAACUACACGACCAUCUAGUCCAACCGUCUCUUCAUCACCAUUGCCACCACUAGCACUAAACCAUAUCUCACAGCUCCUCAUCCAGACACCUCUUGAACACUGCCAGGGAUGGCGACUCCACCGCCUCCCUGGGCAGGCCAUUCCAGUGCCUGACCACUCUCUGAGAGAAAAAGUUUUUCUUAUGUCUAAUCUAAACCUCCUCUGAUACAACUUGAGGCCAUUACCCCGUGUCCUGCUCGAUGCCUGGAAGAAGAGGCCAAAUCCCUCUUCACCACAACCUCCCUUCAGGAGGUCGUAGAGUGCAGUGAGGUCUCCCCCGAGCCUCCUCUUCUCCAGACUGAACAAUCCCAGCUCUCUCAGCCGCUCCUCAUAAGACUUGUGCUCCAGACCCCUCACCAGUUUCGUUGCCCUUCUCUGGACACGCUCCAGGGUCUCAACGUCUGUCUUGUAGAGAGGGGCCCAAAACUGAACACAGUACUCGAGAUGCGGCCUCACCAGUGCUGAGUACAGGGGGAUGAUCACCUCCCUGCUCCUGCUGGCCACACCAUUUCUAAUGCAGGCCAGGAUGCCGUUGGCCCUCUUGGCCACCUGGGCACACUGUCGGCUCAUGUUCAGCUGAGCAUCAACCAACACCCCCACUUCUCCACAAUCAUCCAGCCACUCAUCCCCAAGCUUAUAACGCUGCAUGGGGUUGUUGUGGCCAAAGUGCAGGACCCGACACUUGGCCUUGUUGAACCUCAUCCCAUUCACCUCAGCCCAGCGGUCCAGCCUGUCUAAAUCCCUCUGAAGGGCUGCCCUACCCUCAGGCAGAUCGACACCACUUCCCAGGUUGGUGUCAUGUCCCAGCAGUAGAGUCAUGAAAAGAUGUAAUUUCCCUGGGCUUGAGCGUGGUUUAAUGGGCACGGUGGUGACGGACUGAUUGGUUGGACUAGAUGACCUACAGUUCUUUUUCAACCCUAAUGAUUCUAUAAUUCCUUCUAGGGGCAUGGUGGCGAUGGGCUGACAGUUGCACCUGAUGAUCUGAGAGAGUGGGUACAAGCAGGUGUUUCACUUUGUUGACAUGCAGAAUUCAGGAGCCUAGACUGAAAAUAAAAUAAAUAAACAGAAGUUGCUCAUAGGA